rnacentral:rRNA from 1 species
UGUGAAGCAUCCUGUUAAGUCAGGCAACGAGCGAGACCCACGCCAACAGUUGCCAGCUCGGUCCUCCGGGAUGGUGGGGACGACUGUUGGGACCGCCUCUGCUAAAGGAGGAGGAAGGAAUGGGCAACGGUAGGUCAGCAUGCCCCGAAUUAUCUGGGCUACACGCGGGCUACAAUGGGUGGGACAAUGGGUAUCGACACCGAAAGGUGAAGGCAAUCUCCUAAACCCAUCCGUAGUUCGGAUUGUGGGCUGCAACUCGCCCACAUGAAGCUGGAAUCUGUAGUAAUCGUGUCUCAAAAUGGCACGGUGAAUAUGUCCCUGCUCCUU